UACGGGGGGGGCAAGCGUUGUUCGGAAUUACUGGGCGUAAAGGGCUCGUAGGCGGCCAACUAAGUCGGAUGUGAAAUCCCCAGGCUCAACCUGGGAACUGCAUCCGAUACUGGAUGGCUUGAAUCCGGGAGAGGGAUGCAGAAUUCCAGGUGUAGCGGUGAAAUGCGUAGGUAUCUGGAGGAAUGCCGGUGGCGAAGGCGGCAUCCUGGACCGGCAUUGACGCUGAGGAGCGAAAGCUAGGGGAGCAAACGGG
rnacentral:rRNA from 1 species